rnacentral:rRNA from 1 species
CGGUGGAGUGAUUUGUUUGGUUGAUUCCGUCAACGGACGAGAUCCAAUCUGCCCAGUAGGAACCUGAAGUCUUCUCAACGACAGCAAUCCGUGGCCCGCUUCGGCGCGGUCAUUGGAUACCUCUUCGGUGGUUUCUUCUCUGCAGGAUUCCUUGCUCCCGCGCAAGGUGAGAUUUUGGGCAACAGCA